rnacentral:tRNA from 1 species
CAAGAAGUAGUUUAUCUAAAAUUCAGGUUUUGGAAAUCUGAGAUACUUCGAAGAGGUUUUCUUGA